GGCUAGAGUUUGAUCAUGGCUCAGGACGAACGCUGGCGGCGCGCCUAACACAUGCAAGUCGAACGGAGUUUGUUGGAUUGAUCCUUCGGGAGAUUGAUAGCAAACUGAGUGGCGGACGGGUGAGUAACACGUGAGCAACCUACCUUUCAGAGGGGGAUAACGUCUGGAAACGGACGCUAAUACCGCAUAACAUAAGAGGAGGGCAUCCUUCUUUUAUCAAAGGAGCAAUCCGCUGAAAGAUGGGCUCGCGUCCGAUUAGGCAGUUGGCGGGGUAACGGCCCACCAAACCGACGAUCGGUAGCCGGACUGAGAGGUUGAACGGCCACAUUGGGACUGAGACACGGCCCAGACUCCUACGGGAGGCAGCAGUGGGGGAUAUUGCACAAUGGGGGAAACCCUGAUGCAGCGACGCCGCGUGAGGGAAGAAGGUUUUCGGAUUGUAAACCUCUGUCUUUAGUGACGAAGAUGACGGUAGCUAAAGAGGAAGCCACGGCUAACUACGUGCCAGCAGCCGCGGUAAUACGUAGGUGGCAAGCGUUGUCCGGAAUUACUGGGUGUAAAGGGAGCGUAGGCGGGAAGACAAGUCGGGUGUCAAAUCUAUCGGCUCAACUGGUAGCAGCACUCGAAACUGCCUUUCUUGAGUGAAGUAGAGGUAAGCGGAAUUCCUAGUGUAGCGGUGAAAUGCGUAAAUAUUAGGAGGAACACCAGUGGCGAAGGCGGCUUACUGGGCUUUAACUGACGCUGAGGCUCGAAAGCAUGGGUAGCAAACAGGAUUAGAUACCCUGGUAGUCCAUGCUGUAAACGAUGAUUACUAGGUGUGGGGGGACUGACCCCUUCCGUGCCGGAGUUAACACAUAAGUAUCCACCCUGGGAGUA
rnacentral:rRNA from 1 species